rnacentral:rRNA from 1 species
UACGAAGGGGGCUAGCGUUGUUCGGAAUUACUGGGCGUAAAGCGCGCGCAGGCGGUCUUCCAAGUCAGUGGUGAAAGCCCGGAGCUCAACUCCGGAACUGCCAUCGAAACUGUAAGACUUGAGGAUGAGAGAGGUGAGUGGAAUUCCCAGUGUAGAGGUGAAAUUCGUAGAUAUUGGGAAGAACACCGGUGGCGAAGGCGGCUCACUGGCUCAUAUCUGACGCUCAGGCGCGACAGCGUGGGGAUCAAACGGG